CAGCAGGCUUAAGUCCAGUUAAUGUAGUUGCCCAUGAGAAAACUGACCAAUUAGAAACUGAGCAUGCAUGGUAAGGGAGCUGUCAGGCUGAAAACAACUCAAAGGAAUGUUUCUGGAAUAGAAAUAUGCAUGUACAACUGAGAACAAAGAAACAAGAAAAGCAUGCAGAAAUGAAAAAAGUGACAAGGACAUGUUGCAUUGCCAUCCUGGGACACUGCAGAUUCUGGAGCAUCAGAAGUAUUCUGCGGAGCAGAAAGAUCACAGAGAUACCCUCUGUUCUAGAAUAGAAGACGGCUAACAGAGACAUACACAAACAGUAGACCAAGGAGGAAAGUGACAAACAAUGUCAGCAGCUAAUGUCAGUGAUUACUUCCCACUAGAAAAUAAGCUCCAAUUAUAGAGUACACGACUCUGUUACACCUCCACCACCAGUAUGGACCAUCUAUCAGGCUCUGGUGCCAGAUCUUCCCUGUUCCUCUAGCUCAUUCCUCCCUUCCUUUCCCUUGCCCUUCCAUACCACUUACUCCUCUUUUCCUUAAUCUUUCUGUUUCUUCUCUCUCUUCUCUCUCCUCUUAUUCUUCAUGUUGAUCUUUUUUUCUUUUUCUUUGUGCUCCAAGUUUUGGUAGGCAACCACUUAUGCUCAAAUUUUCUACUCUCAGAGGCAUUUUAAAAGAAACAUUAUUAAAGAAAUAUCUUCUUGAACUUAGAGAAUGAAUGAGGAGAUGAAGUCCUUCUUUCCCUUUUCCACCCUUCCUCCUCCCCCUCCUCCACCCUUCUUCAUCCCCUUCCCCUUCCCUUCCUACUCCUCCUGUUCUCUCUCUCUCUCCCCACCCCACCCCUUGCCACCCACCCCAUUAGAACAAGCCUUACAAUCUUGUGCACUUCUUCUUGCCUACAACACUGACAUCCAUUCUGGAUAUGGAUCUCCUAGAGAUUGAAGACCCCACUGCUGGGCAAUGUUGGUGAGAACAGCUGGAGCAAAUGUUCUCCUCCUUGCCAUGGAAUGAUAAAUCACACCUGUCAAUGAAUAAAACAUCCAGUGUCAGCAAUCAAGCAAUGGAUUUUUAAGGAGUCUUCCCAUUUAUCAGUUCAGCUAUUGAUUACCUAUGAAAGGUCCUUGCAUCAGAGGGAUAAUAAAUGGGAGAACUGAGCCCCAAUACACAAGGCCAUGUGGGUUCAUAA